rnacentral:rRNA from 1 species
UACGGAGGGUGCAAGCGUUAAUCGGAAUUACUGGGCGUAAAGCGUGCGUAGGCGGCUGGUUAAGUCAGAUGUGAAAGCCCCGGGCUCAACCUGGGAACGGCAUUUGAAACUGGCCAGCUAGAGUUGGGUAGAGGGGAGUGGAAUUUCCUGUGUAGCGGUGAAAUGCGUAGAUAUAGGAAGGAACACCAGUGGCGAAGGCGACUCUCUGGACUGAUACUGACACUGAGGUGCGAAAGCGUGGGGAGCAAACAGG